AGUGAACGCUGGCGGUAGGCCUAACACAUGCAAGUCGAACGGCAGCACAGUAAGAGCUUGCUCUUACGGGUGGCGAGUGGCGGACGGGUGAGGAAUACAUCGGAAUCUACUUUUUCGUGGGGGAUAACGUAGGGAAACUUACGCUAAUACCGCAUACGACAUACGGGUGAAAGCAGGGGAUCUUCGGACCUUGCGCGAUUGAAUGAGCCGAUGUCGGAUUAGCUAGUUGGCGGGGUAACGGCCCACCAAGGCGACGAUCCGUAGCUGGUCUGAGAGGAUGAUCAGCCACACUGGAACUGAGACACGGUCCAGACUCCUACGGGAGGCAGCAGUGGGGAAUAUUGGACAAAGGGCGCAAGCCUGAUCCAGCCAUACCGCGUGGGUGAAGAAGGCCUUCGGGUUGUAAAGCCCUUUUGUUGGGAAAGAAAAGCAGCAGGUUAAUACCCCGCUGUUCUGACGGUACCCAAAGAAUAAGCACCGGCUAACUUCGUG
rnacentral:rRNA from 1 species